UACAGAGGAUGCAAGCGUUAUCCGGAAUGAUUGGGCGUAAAGACGUCUGUAGGUGGCUUUUUAAGUCCGCCGUCAAAUCCCACGGCUCAACCGUGGAAGUGCACUCGAAACUGCAUAGCUAGAGUCCUGGAGAGGAAGGUGGAAUGCUUGGUGUAGAGGUGAAAUUCGUAGAUAUCAAGCGGAACACCGGGUGGCGAAGGCGGCCUUCUGGGACAGUGACUGACGCUGAGA
rnacentral:rRNA from 1 species